ensembl:snoRNA
GCUGCACCUGUGACGGGGAGGCAAGGAGGACGUGGCUAUUUCUAUGCGCAGUGCUCACAAUACUGAGCACUCAGAACGGUUUAUAGCCUAACAAG